ACACUCUUGUAAAGAGUUCAUUUUGUUUCUUCUUCUAGAGUCGUUACUGAUUGAUGUCUCCUUGUGCAACAUCGUGAAACGAAGAGCACCCAUGGAAAACUCUAUGUAUUUUCAAAGAGAGAAGGAUGCGUGUCCGUACAAAGUGCAAGUCCUUGUAGAUUGAACUGGAAAUUGAAUACAUACAUCGCCAAAGUUUACACACAGCGAAAUGAAAUUGCUUCACAUGCGCUCAAAUUCUAUGCCCAGUCUGGCUAUUCAUUUACAUGUAGAAAUGCUGUUAAAGAAGCCUUAUGUUCACAGGUGACACCGAAUUGUUCCGAAAGCGAUUACAGUCAAAAUUAUGGCGAUGUCACCAGGCUGUGUAACAAUGUUUACUCUCGUUGUCCUUCCACACUCGUCGAUAGUUUGACAAAGGACGACUUUUGCCCAAAUUUAAAAAAGGGGAAACGUUCAAACGGUCGAUGUGUUGCUAAUAAUGCAUACGUUAGAGGUGUUUGUCCACAGCCAAUGUUUAAGAUGCCCACUGAGUUCCUUGACGAUUAUCGAAAAAGGUCUAUUACACUUCAAACAACAAUGACAGACAUGCGCAAAGCCCGGUACAGCAAUAGAAGAAGGAUUUUUCAGAUGUUUGUGUUUCACAAAUGGCUGAAAUCGCUUGCGCAGCGAUUUACUGUUCAGAUGAUGAAACCGAGCUCUUGAUAAAACUGGAUAGAAACGAUUGCCAUAAAGUAGUCAGUGACUGUUUUGACGAACCACACCGAAGAUUGUCGCACGCGUCUUACUGGAGGAUUAUGAACCCUUUAAGAAAUCAACUUCAAUUAUUGUGUGACACUCACCCUGUGUCUUCGUCAGACCUGCGACCAGAUCCCCGACGGAUUACCACAUACUCAUCCUCAGGUCAUAGAAGCAAUGGAUUUAUGUCGAUCGUCCUUUUUACUCUUGAAUUGGCUUUUGAUGUCUUUCAGCUAGAGGCAGAAAAUUUUAGACGUUUGACUACUUAUAUAUGUCGAGAAAAGGUGUGCGCUUAUAAACGGACAUACUUAAAUUAUAGAUCGUUUCAUAUAACAACAGUAUAUCUUAGUUUACAAUGUUUCCUUUCGUAAAAAUAUAUAAGCUCAGUAACUCAAA